rnacentral:rRNA from 1 species
CCUACGGGAGGCAGCAGUAAGGAAUAUUGGUCAAUGGACGCAAGUCUGAACCAGCCAUGCCGCGUGGAGGAUGAAGGUCCUCUGGAUUGUAAACUUCUUUUAUCUGGGAAGAAAUGCCGAUUUUCUAAUUGGUUUGACGGUACCAGAUGAAUAAGCACCGGCUAACUCCGUGCCAGCAGCCGCGGUAAU